rnacentral:rRNA from 1 species
ACGACUACACUCCUACGGGAGGCAGCAGUGGGGAAUUUUGGACAAUGGGGGCAACCCUGAUCCAGCAAUGCCGCGUGCAGGAUGAAGGCCCUCGGGUUGUAAACUGCUUUUGUACGGAACGAAAAGCCUGGGGCUAAUAUCCCCGGGUCAUGACGGUACCGUAAGAAUAAGCACCGGCUAACUACGUGCCAGCAGCCGCGGUAAUACGUAGGGUGCAAGCGUUAAUCGGAAUUACUGGGCGUAAAGCGUGCGCAGGCGGUUUUGUAAGACAGUGGUGAAAUCCCCGGGCUCAACCUGGGAACUGCCAUUGUGACUGCAAGGCUAGAGUGCGGCAGAGGGGGAUGGAAUUCCGCGUGUAGCAGUGAAAUGCGUAGAUAUGCGGAGGAACACCGAUGGCGAAGGCAAUCCCCUGGGCCUGCACUGACGCUCAUGCACGAAAGCGUGGGGAGCAAACAGGAUUAGAAACCCUUGUAGUCCACCAAUCC